AUUGAACGCUGGCGGCAUGCUUUACACAUGCAAGUCGAACGGCAGCGCGGGCUUCGGCCUGGCGGCGAGUGGCGAACGGGUGAGUAAUACAUCGGAACGUGCCCAGUAGUGGGGGAUAGCUCGGCGAAAGCCGGAUUAAUACCGCAUACGACCUGAGGGUGAAAGCGGGGGAUCUUCGGACCUCGCGCUAUUGGAGCGGCCGGUGGCAGAUUAGCUAGUUGGUGGGGUAAAGGCCUACCAAGGCGACGAUCUGUAGCUGGUCUGAGAGGACGACCAGCCACACUGGGACUGAGACACGGCCCAGACUCCUACGGGAGGCAGCAGUGGGGAAUUAUGGACAAUGGGCGAAAGCCUGAUCCAGCAAUGCCGCGUGUGUGAUGAAGGCCUUCGGGUUGUAAAGCACUUUUGGCGGGAACGAAAAGGACUGUGCCAAUACCACGGUUCGAUGACGGUACCCGCAGAAUAAGCACCGGCUAACUACGUG
rnacentral:rRNA from 1 species